GAAGCAGAUUCCCCGCUCUAGGGUUCCGUUGGCGGGAGCGAGUUUUGGUAUUUCCAGGUCAGGAUCGCUCGUGGAUACCCCAGCGCCGCGUCCUCCACACCCGCAGCCCGGGACCCAGGGACCUGGAGGAACUGCGCCCGCCCCGUCCGCCCGCCCCAGCCGCGGGGAGCCCCGCCCAGUCGGGGAGCUGCGGGCCCGGUCCGCUCCCUUGCAGGGGAUCUGGCCUCUGGGAAGGUGUCUGGACUCAAGGACCAUGUCCUGCCCACCAGUCCCCCAAAGCCCCACCUACUACGAACAUUAAGACUAAAGCCUUUCCUGGCCCUGUCCUGCUGCACUUUUUGCCUUGUGUUCCACUCUACCACCUUCAGAUCUGAUCAAAAGGCCUGUCCUCCCUGUUGAGUGACUCAGAGGAAAAUAAGAAAAAAUAAUGUCCAGAAUCCAGACAUUUAAACAACUCUUCCGUACCUCAGACCUCUUCACUCACCCAGGAAGGCCAAGGAUUCAGGUUUCCAUCCCUGUACAGGCACACGGCGGGCAGAGAGCAGAGCGUGGUAUCCACUAGACGCUGCCUGUUCUGUGAUGCUGAAGACUCUCCUUCCUGUGCACUGCAGAGAAGACUCAAAUUUCCAGAGCUUUUCAGCACGGGAAGAUGCUCACUGAAUAUUCUGAACCAUGGAGAUGUGUACCUGACACCUUUCAGGCUUUGCCUGUGUCCUUUUGUCUGUGAGUGAAAACCCAGAGAAAGAUACCUGGCAACUGAGUCACUGACCAUGCAGCCGCUGGUUGCCAUCUCUACCCUCCUACUCUGGACAUUGGCUGGGGUUACUCUGUCGAAACCAGAAUGUCCUUGAUGUUUCAGGAAUCAGUGAUAUUUGAAGAUGUAGCUGUAGACUUCACCCAGGAAGAGUGGGCCCUGCUGGAAACACCCCAGAGAAAGCUGUACAGAGAUGUGAUGCUGGAGAACAUCAGUCACCUGGUUUCCCUGGGGUAUCGGAUCUGCAAAUCAGAUGUGACUUUUCAGCUAGAGCAAGGAGAAGAGCUAUGGAGUGAAGGGACUGGGUUUCUCCAAGGCCAGAGUGCAGGCAGGGAAAGUGCCAUUCAAAAUGAAGAAAUGAUAGCCACACAACAUACCAGUGGAAAGGACACAUUUACAAUCAUGCAAUUGCAGAAAUUUCACACUCAAGAGGAUCCCUAUGAAUAUAAUGAUUUGGGAGCUUUCACUCAUAGCUCCAUAGUGACUCAACAUGUGUUAACUCAUAUGGAAAAGAAACCCUGUAUCAGCAAACAAUAUCAAAAAUCCUUUAGUGACCAGUCUUAUGUUAAUCAACAUAAGCAACUUUACACCAGAGUUAAAUCAUAUGAGUGCCAUCUAUGUAGGAAAACCUUCAGUAAUUGCUCUAGCCUUAGAAGACAUGAGAUGACUCACACUGGAGAGAAACCAUACGAAUGCCACAUCUGUGGGAAUGCCUUUAUUCAGAGCUCUGACCUUAGAAAACAUAGUCUCACUCAUACCGGAGAGAAACCUUAUGAAUGUCAUAUAUGUGGGAAAGCCUUCAGUCAGUCGUCUAACCUCAGACAGCACCAAAGGACACACACUGGAGAACAACCGUAUGAGUGUUGUCAGUGUGGGAAAGCCUUCAGUAAAUGUUCUGCCCUGAGACGACAUGAGAGAACUCACACAGGAGAGAAACCUUAUGGAUGUCAUCUGUGUGGGAAAGCCUUCAGUCAGUGUUCUGCCCUUAGACGACAUGAAGGAACCCACAAUGGAGAGAAAAUUUUGAAUGCCUUCAGUAAAUAUUCUGACCUGAGAUGACAUGGUAUUAUAAGUAAUGAAUAUAGAAGAAAACUCAAUCAUAGUUUUAACAUUAAAAAACAGCAAGGACUCACACAUUAAGGAAACACUGUCUGUGAUCAAUGUGGAAGGUCCUGCAGUCAUUCUUACUCAUCUUCCAUGUGCAAAUGUAGAUGGAAGACAAUCCAGUUGCAUGGAAUCUCUCUGGCAAAGCCUUCAGCCACUCGUCUGACCAUAGGUGACAUGGGAGAACUCACACUGGAAGUAUAAAGAAUGCAGAAGUCUGCAGCAACAGCUCUCAGCUUCAUACUAGAAAAUUCACACAGGGGAGAACCCCUCAGUCUGCAGUCACUGGGAAUGCUUUCAUUUAUAAUUCAUGCUGACUUCAGGUGUGAUCCAGGGUAAAAUUUGCAUUUUCCUCCAUGUUCCUUCCCAACUAAUAGGGGCUUUGGCAUGCACCACAACAUCUUAGUAACAGGCACCAGGUGAGAUGCUGGAACUGCAGGGCCUUUGGGCACAAGGCAAGCAGGUGUCCACUGAAGCGUUGGAAUAGGAUCCACACACGCUGAGACCUGAUCACAACACAAGAGGAAAUAUGUGAGAGACCCUGAUCUCACCCCUUGGUCACCGAAAAGGAAAUGUGUCAUGACAUCCACAGCACUUCCUAUUGAAGGUGUUGAGAGAAGCACCUGCUUACCUCCUGUACCAAAGAAUGGACAGGAAGGUCCUGUUACAGACUCCCCUCAUGCAGAAGGCACACGCUUUGGUCAGGAUCCCAGCCACAGUGUCCAUGAGGGGGACAACAGGCCCCAUUCUGCCUUCAGCACCCAGGGCCUGGACCAAGCCCUCAUCCACCAGCCACAGGCCAAGUUCCCUGACGGGAACUCACACAGCAUCCAGCAUGCUGCUGCACACAGUGUGGGCCAGGACUCUGAUCUCAUCAUCAAGGUACCCGGCAAGAGAGCUGCCCAGACCUCCAGCCAUAUUUUCUAGAAACCCCAAAGAAACCGAGACUCAGCCCCAGCUGGAAGAGCACCCAGAGACAAGACCUUCAACCUCCGCUCCAGCACCCUCUCAUCAAGACUCUCCAGCCCUGCCAUGUGUCCCAGUUCCCACCAGUUCCCGAGGUUCCAGGCCAGCCCCUCAGAAUGGUCUUCACCACAUUAGACAAAGGCCAGUGGAGUUCCAGGUGCACGACACCUCCAUCCUCCCUCCUGCUGAGAUGCUCACAGCUGCUGCUCAGAUCCCUCCCACCACUGAGAAGUCAGAGGCAUUCUGUCCUUGUGUCUCCUUGAGUGUCCUCCUUGAGGCCCUUCAGCUGUCCUCUUCCUCUGAAGAAGGUGAUGGCCAGUGAGACACUCCAUGUCAGAGAAGACAUGUUCUUCAGUCCCAGGCCACCUGGAAGUACCUGAGGAACUGGAGAGGGAUGGUCACUUGGGGAAAAUGUUUCUGGGGAAUCAGAGCUUCCCUUCUGUGCUGUGUGGACAGAUGGUGGAACCCUGAUCAUGCUUGGGGCACAAGGCUCAGUUAUUGGACUUUAAUGUACCUAGGUGUAGUGGCAUUUCAAAUGGUGCUUUUAUAAUAAACUAUUUGUUCUUAUAGAACUGGUAAGGGAAGUAUGUAUUUAGAAAUUUUCAUCCAUUGUAUGUAAAAGUAAGUUAAGUUGCAAUAAUUGCCCUUAAGUCUAGUGGAAAUAGGAAGCUCUGUAAUGAAUCGGUAUCAGGUGUGCACCUGUCUGCUUUGGGGAACCUGGGGCAGGGCCACCUGUGUGGUCUGGAGAUUUGAAGUAGUGCCUGUGGUCCUGAGGUGAGACUCUUUCACUGUGCUGUGUUAUUUCAAUGGAAAUCAGGACAGGGACCCUUCCCAUGACUUUGUACCUUUUGUUUAUGGAAUGUCAUAUUAAAGUUCUGUUUUAGAGUUUGUGUUUGAUAUCAAUAAAAGUCUGCAAAAUAGG